UAAUACGGAGGGUGCAAGCGUUAUCCGGAUUCACUGGGUUUAAAGGGUGCGUAGGUGGGCAGGUAAGUCAGUGGUGAAAUCCUGUAGCUUAACUACAGAACUGCCAUUGAUACUAUCUGUCUUGAAUACCCUGGAGGUGAGCGGAAUAUGUCAUGUAGCGGUGAAAUGCUUAGAUAUGACAUAGAACACCCAUUGCGAAGGCAGCUCACUACGGGAAUAUUGACGCUGAGGCGCGAAAGCGUGGGGAUCAAACAG
rnacentral:rRNA from 1 species